CUUCCUUCAGCAGCUUGAAGAGCUCCUCGACGGGAAUACCGGGAUACGGCGAGCCCCCCAGGGUGAAGAUCUCCCACAUGAGAACGCCAAACGACCACCUGGCAAAAAUAGAUGUUGUCCACCUCAACUAAAGAGGAACUGGCUCAAAUCCUCCCAGACUAUACUGACGACAUACCCGUUUGGAAGCGAGAUAUUCCAUCCCUCGGGCCACCUGGUAGGCACAGGACAGUAAAUCCUUGAAGGCUUAUAAAUCCAUUGGAACCAGCAUCCACCGUCACCCCCACUCGAGUGGCGACAGCUGCCGAGCCCCUGGUGCGAGCGAGGAGCG